GCCUGGCUGGCUCUUCAGCAAAGCAUGUGACUCUUGGUCUCAAGGUCAUGAGUUCAACCCCCAUGCUGGGCC
rnacentral:tRNA from 1 species